UCCAUUGCAGUUUGUCUUCUUUUUUGGAGAACUCUCGAGCAAGAAAAUUGUCUUUUACCAACGAGGAAUUAUUAGAGCAAUUACGAGUGCAAGAUAAAAAUCGAGUGAGGUGACAUCUGAGAUGAUACCUCAUAUCAGUUGCAAAGUAUCGUCAAAGUCAUAGCGGAUCCAGGCAAGUACAUUUCUACCAAUGAUAUGUAAAAAAUGAACAUCGCUGACAUCAACGAUAAAUAAUCAAUGACUUCGCUGAAAAUCUAAGAAAAUUUUUCGAAAUACGCUUGAACAUUGGUGAUGGCCCCAGUGAUAUAAUGAUGAGCAUGCUAUUGCCGAUUCUCAAUUCAAAUGCGACAAUAGGCAGCCUAUAUUGUCACUGUAUGGAUGUUGCAAAUGAAAACGUGUGCCGAUCUAUUUCAAAAUUUUAAAACAGAACAUCUGUUUCGCAAAAAAAUGCAAAUUACAUCAGUUUUUAUAUCUACAUUAUGCUUGAAUGUACAUUUUAUAAUUUUGUUUAUUACAAUUCUUUAUUGCUUUUUACAUAGUGCAAUCGGGAAUAUGUGUCGCCUUUUCAGUCGUCGCUCUGCUAGAGCUAGAGGAGUUGGAAGAGUUACUCGAGGUGUUAGAAUUUGAUUUAUAAUACAAUUUUGUAUAACACUCUUAGCGCUAAUUAUAUUUAUUACUUAUGGUAGUUUUUUUUCUAUGUAUUGCAUAGUGUAUGCUUUCUUUAUAUUUUGUGUUUUAUGGUCAGCGUAUUUAUAGUUUAUGGUGUGCGCUAUCUGUUUUUAUCCUUAUUCUAAAUGUAUCUAGAAAUAUAUGCAGUCGCAUAAUUUG